rnacentral:rRNA from 1 species
UACGUAGGUGGCAAGCGUUGUCCGGAUUUACUGGGCGUAAAGAGCGCGCAGGCGGUCGGAUAAGUCGAAUGUGAAAGCCCCCGGCUCAACUGGGGAGGGUCAUUCGAUACUGUUCGACUCGAAGGCAGGAGAGGGAAGCGGAAUUCCCGGUGUAGUGGUGAAAUGCGUAGAUAUCGGGAGGAACACCAGUGGCGAAGGCGGCUUCCUGGCCUGUUCUUGACGCUGAGGCGCGAAAGCUAGGGGAGCAAACGGG